GGUGUGUCUGUUGUUUGUGUGUUUUUCCUUCUGCCUUUAGCCCUUCCCCUUCACCUCCUCAGUAACUAGUAGAACCUGCAAGGCUCAUGGCCAGCCUGGGUCCUUUCCUCUGACUCAGUGGAAGGGCAGGAGAGUGCCCCAGGGAGCUGCCCACAUCCCUGGCUGAGUGCCUCGCCCCCAGGGCCUGCACGAGGAGCAGCUUCCACAGGGCGCCUGUGGGGCUCGUUCCUCUGGAUGCUUUUCCUUUUGCUGCGAAUGCCUCUGGGGCACAAAUAUAUGGCCCUUGGGUCUAGGCCUUAGGGCUUCUGGUGACCAGGAUAGGAAGUGUUGCAGGUCCUGCCCCGAGGGCGGCGCAUUAGCUUUUCCCCACUGCUUUCAUCUACCCAGCUCACCAGAUUCCCCCAUCAACCAGAGGUGGGUGUAUCACCCCCGUUUCACAGAGGAAUAAAGUGAGGCCAGGAAAGGGAGAAUGACUUGCCCAAAGUCAUAUAGCUAACAAGUGGCCUGGCAACUGGAAUCUGCCUUUUUGGUCCCCAUUCUGAAGCUCUUUCCAGCACAGGCUGCUAAUGUUCCCACACAGGGUGCAGGGAUGCUGCUUUCCUCUCUGAUAUGGGACCUCACUGGACUCGCUCCCCAGAGUCUGCCCAAGUCAUCUCUGGAAGUCCCUCGGGUGUCUUGUAAGUGCCCGCAGCCAGCCUGCUAAUGUGUCUUCCACUUGACCUCUUUGUUGCUGUCUGCUGUGCACUGGGCAACUAAGGCAGGGCCUUGCCUGACUCCCUGCCUGGGGCGCUCCGAGAGGUCCCUGUUUCUCUACUUCAGGUGUGACUCCUGGUGCUGGCCAGUAUGGCAGUCCUCAGUCCCCACUGAGGCAAAACGGUUUUGUGCUCUGAAUUGAAAGAGGCAGAAAGCUCCUCUCCCUACCGUGUGUCCCAAUUUGUAAGCUGGGCCCCAAAGAAGCCUUUUCAGCUUUUCCCUGCAGCCCCCUCUCUGAAGGGAGUAAGGGGCCAGUGUUUCCUGCUAGCCUGUCCCCAUUCACUCACUUGCAAUAAAAGCCUCCGCUCAGUUUAUAUGAUUCCAGUGAAACUGCCCCCAUCACCACCAUGACCAGGCUCCCUAUACACAUCCCCUUCCCAGACACUCAGAUCUGGGAGUGGAGAUUAUGAUCCUGCAAUCAGUACGCUCUACCCCCCUGCCACAGUUAUUGGUUAAGGGAUGGGUACAUGACCAAAGGCAGGCAAAUCAGAGCCAGUGAAACUCAGUUCCAGAACUUUUGAACUAGUUCUUUGCCCUGGUGAGAGGUGUGAGGCCUGGAGCUCCUGCAGUCAUCUUGCCCCCAUGGGGUGGAACCAGCCAGUGAUAGAGAGCUGUUACCUGGAGAAGAGAUGAGCCAAAAGAUAACAGAGAACAUGAAGUUUUGGUGACAUUGUUUAGAGCCCCUGAUUAAGUCUUGUCUGAAACCAGCCACACCCCUUGGACUUCCAUUCUAAAGUCAAUAAAUUCCAUUUUUGCAUUAAGCAAAAAAAAAAAAAAAAAGAAAGAAAGAAAAAAAUUUUUUUUUUUUUCCAGUCACAUCCACCAUUCUAGCAAUACAGAGAAUGAGAUUUAGGCCCCUUGCUCCUCUGUACCCCAUCCUUAACCUCUCACCAAACUUCCUCCUUAGAGGCCUAUCUACCCUCAUGCAAAUUAACUCAUACAAACAGAUACCUAGGCCGCCCACUACUAACCCGUAAGUCCCUUUGCCUUUGUGCUAUUUGGAACUGUUUGAUCUAUAUAGAAAAAUUUGUCCCAGAGACAGUCCAUACUUGGCUUGGUGAGGUAGGGGUGGGUGGGAGGAAAGAAAGGUGGGGAGAGAGAACAAGGCACGGCAGCCAACACUGGCUCUGCCCAAGCAGAUGCUGAACCCCAAGUUCAUCCUGUCUCUCUGAAGGGAUGGGUGUCCACACCAGAAUUGGCCCAGGGCUGGAUGUGCGGUAGAACUCAAGAAAGGCUGCCUGCCUUGGUCUUUCGAAUUCCUCCUACUGCUCCCAGUUAGAAGGAUGAAUUAGAAGAAAGAAGAGACCGUCAAUCAAGUUGCUGGGUUUCAUAAACUGGCCCCCCUUCCCAGGAGGAUUUAUCUGUGAGCUAGAGGCACCUCAUUUCUCACUGCACCCUUUGGCCUGGCUCCAGCCACAUCCCCACCCGCAAAUAAGUCCUUUUCCUUCUUAGAGCAGGAGCCUGAGAAUGAGUCACUACCUCAUUCUCUUCAUUCUUUCAUCACUGGUCAGGCCUCACCCUUCCCUCGGCCAUCCCCUCCUCUGGGCAACCAUCUGGAUCAUGUGUGGGCAAGGCUCUUCCCACACAGCCAGCUUGGAGGGUCCUCUGUGUGAGAGAGGAGUGGACAGGGCUGACCUCUCAGCUCCUGCGGACUCAAGAGAGAGCUGGGGCCUCCAGGGAUGGGCCACAGCUACUGGAGUCUCUCCCAGCCCCUAAAGAAGGAUAUUUCCUGGGGCCCUGUCUUCCUCCUCGGGCAUCAAGUUCAUUCCUGUGUCUGUCCUAAUGAAGAGGAAUGAAAACUCCUUUAGGGAGUCCCUGCCAUGCCCCAGACCCCACCACGAACUCUGAGUUCUCGUGGCAAUCCUCUAUGUGGCGACCAUCAGCCACACUGGAAUGGAGGGACAAGGCUGUCGGGAGGAGGCAUUUCUCACGCCUGUGCCGUGAACAUGCUACCUCCGCACGCUCAAGCCCAUGCUGCGCCACUCGCAAGGUGCUGUAGCGUUUUGGGCCAGCACCCUUCUCUCUCUGCCUCCUCGCCUACAGCAAGCUUUCUUCAGGCCCGUGGCUGGCAGGCCCCAAGCCAAGAGUGGAUUCUUUCAUACUCUCUGGUCUAAAUCAAGCUGCAUCAGGUGGCCCUCCCGGUGACCCUCCUGCCUUAUUUGGAAGAAGAGGAGGAAGCUAGAUAAGAAACCAUCCAGGCACCAUGGGCCCUUCUUAUGGGUCACCCCACAGAUGGCAUCAUUCUCCAGAGAGUGGGGAAUCUGAGCUCCGAGAGGCCCUGAGCAAGGUGUCAAAGGAAGAGAAUAAAAUGAAGGAGCUGCCUUACAGGGCCCUAGAGGAGGACAAAUACUUGCAAGUGGUAGUCAUUUUCUCCCUGCAGUUAAAGGAAUUCUCUACUUUAAAACAAAUGAAAAUUAAAGGGAAUGUGGGGGCCAGAGGGAGCCCCUGGGAAUGUUAUGCAGGGAGGGUAGUCUGUGAGGAGGGGUCUACUGGGCCUGUUCAGUCAGAGCCCCGUCUGGAGCAAAGGUUGACCUCAGGCUCUGUUCUGGGUCUCCACAGUAUUAAAUCACCAAAGGGAGAGCUUCAGAAGCCCCAGAUAGCCCUGGUGUCUCCAAAGAACUAGAGAAAAGCAGCAACCUUGGACCUUGGAGAAUCUUCCAACAUCACUUCCCAGCCCUGGCCGCACAUUAGAAUCACUCAAGGAGCUUUUAAAAAUAUUCACUCCAAGGCCGGAUGCGGUGGCUCACGCCUGUAAUCCCAGCACUUUCGGAGGCCAAGGCGGGAGGAUCUCCUGAGGUCAGGAGUUCGAGACCAGCCUGGCCAACAUGGCGAAACCCUGUCUCUACUGAGCUGAGAUCGCACCACUGCACUCUAGCCUGGGUGACAGAGUGAGACUCUGUCUCAAAAAAAAAAAAAAAAAAAAAAAAAAAAAAAAAAAAAAAAAAAAAAAAAAAUACCCCAGACCACAUGGAUCAUAAUCUCUCUCAGAAUGGGGGCUGGGCAGCUGUAUUGUUUAAUCUAUUCACACAAUACUACUGAGCUGUACUUCUCAAAUUUCCCUUAUGAGAAAAAUCAGCUGGGGGGCACAUUUAAAAAUGAAAAAGAAGGCCGGGUGUGGUGGCUCAGGCCUGUAAUCCCAGCACUUUAGGAGGCUGAGGCAGGCAGAUCACAAGGUCAGGAGUUCGAGACCAGCCAGCCUGGCCAACAUGGUGAAACCUUGUCUCUACUAAAAAUACAAAAAUUAGCCAGGUGUGGCGGCACAUGCCUGUAAUCCUAGCUACUGGGGAGGCUGAGGCAGGAGAAUCGCUUGAACCCAGGAGGCAGAAGUUGCAGUGAGCCGAGAUUGCACAACUACACUCCAGCCUAGGUGACUGAGCAAGACUCCAUCUCAAAAAGAAAGAAAGAAAAGAAAAGAAAGAAAGAAAGAAAGAAAGAGAGAAAUAAAGAAAGAGACAGAAAGAAAGAACGAAAGAAAAAAAAAGAAAGAAAAAGAAAGAAAGAAAGGAAACAAAAACAAAAAGAAUUAUCAGGCUCCCAAUCAAGCAAAGCCAGCAAAUCAGAAUACCUGGAGGUGACUGGUGAAAAUCAGAACCUCUGGGGAAUUAGGCCCAGGUCUUUUUUGCAUUUCUACCAGGCUUCCCAGGGGACAUCUCUGCUGACUGAAAUUGCAAAAUCACAUUCUAAUCCUCUGGUCUUUGCCCCAGCUCGCUCAGCUGGUUGCCCCUUUGACCCUCGGGCCUCCCUAGAGGCCUUCUCUGUGAACACACCGUAGCAUCUGUCUUCUUCCUAGCACUCAUUAAUAUUUGUGGUUGUAUAUUUAUUUCUGUGUUUCUUUAAUGCCAGUCUUCCACCUAGACGAUAAACUCUGUAAGGGCAAGAACCAGGGCUGUUUGGUUCCAUGUAAGGUGGUAGUGAAUUACCAGUGUAGGCUCUGAAGCUUGGACUGCCUGGCCUCAUAUCCCAGCUCCCCUACCCAGCUGUUCUUUGAUCUUCAGCAAGUUGCUUCUCCUUCUUGUGCCUCAGUGUUCUCAUCUAUAAAAUGGAUAUUUGAAUAGUAGUACCUGCCUCACGUGGUUGAUGGGAGGCAUAAAUAAAAUUAUAUAUGUAAAACAUUUAGCAUUGUCAAUGGCACAUUGGAAAUUGUCAAUAAACAUUAAUUAUAUUGAUAAGAAGCCACCACCAUAACUUAAUAGCCGAAAACUGCAACCAUGUAAUUGCUCACAAUUCUGUGGGUUGACAGUCUGGUCAAGGCUCAGCAGGGUGGUUUGUCUCUGCUCCAGAUGGUUUUGGCUGGGCUCACUCUUACAUUUUUGGUCAAGUGGCUUGUUGGCUGGGACUGCAUAGUCUAACUUGAUGGGCCGUUGACGGAGGCUGUCAGUGAGGGAGGCUCGGUUCUCCUCCAUGUGGCCUCUCCAGCAGGCUAGAUGGGGCUUCCUCAUGUGGUAGCUGGGUUCCAAGAGGGCAAGAGCAAAAUUCAAGAGUCACUUUCGCAGCAUUAGUCAAAGCAAGUUACAAGGUCAUCCCAGCGUCAAAGGACGGAGAAGUACUGCUAGUUUUUGUUAGGAGGAGGUGCAAAGACGUCCUGGCCGUUUUUCAUCCUCCAUAGUUGCUUGUUCCUGAAUCUAGCAUGGUAGACUCAGGUGCAUGGCCCGGUAUGCAUUUAGUAGAUAUUUGUUGAAGAAAUAACAAAUGGAUGUGCAGAGGAGAAAGAAACUAGAGAUCCGAGAGGAAAACUGAUUUGCUCAAGGUCACAAAGCAAAUGAGUGGCAGCACCAGCACCAGAAACUAGGUCCUGGUGCACAGUCUUGCCUCUUCCCAUUGCAUCGAUCUGUUCAGACAGCUGCCUGAGAUGGGGCUGAAUUCUCCAAAUAAUUGCCUCACUCCUCAGCUUCUGUUGAGCCUCUGGAGAUAUUUCUAGAAGGUCAGGACUGUGCUUGCUUCCUGAAGAGUCUGGGGACCGAGAGAAGGGAGCACUUUUCAUUUCCCAGGGCAUAACACAUUGCAGAAAAUGAUUAGAGAGCAUCAGCAGUCCUCACUGGGUUCCACUGUAUGUGGCCAGCUGCCAGGGUGGGAGGUCAGAGACAAAGGCAGACUCCAGUAUAGACGCUCUGUAGCCUGCUUCUCAUGUACAUGCUCUCACACACGGGUGCAUACACACAUACGUGCACGCACCUUCUCUCACCUCUCUCUUUAAGGUCUGGAAGAAAGCUAACAUAAGUUUGAGCAGUUGGCCACAGGGCUCUCAUUUGGGCUCUCAAUUGGACCAGCAAUUUCAGGAGUUUUGAACAGCAAUUUUUGAACAGUGAGUUUGGGGAACGGCAGUCGGGGAAAGUUGGGAGGCGCAGGAGGGGUUGUGAAAUGCAUGCUACAAUUCCGUCAUCAGCCCCUUCCUGUUGUUCUGGUACCUGGGGGAAAGCAGGGCUAGCAGGACUGCGCUUCCUCCAUCUAGAAGCUUUCCUCAGGCCUGCUGAGUCACCCACCUGCUGCGGGGAAUGCACCUAUUUUUAGCCUGAGAUGAUACGACCACUUAUUGUACCCAUGUGCACCAUUCCUAUGGCCCCGUCCUUGGGGACACCACUGCUUGGGAGUUAAGAUGGUGGAGAUCUGGAGCCCAGUGGCCUUACUGAAGGAGGCUUCACUACUUACCGUUCGACUCAAGCAAGACCCUUUACCACUCUGAGACCCGACCUUGGAGCUCCUGGGCUGGUACUCAGGUCACAAAGGCUGGUGAUGGAUUCGCAGGAGUGAGAGCAGGAAGGUCACCGAGAUGUCAUCCCUUGCUCUACUGAGGCAGCUCCUGAAAGGCUUCACUCUUCUGCUCUGGUGCAGAAACGGGCCCUACCUCUUUCAGAUUGGCCUGGAGCUGUCGGCUACCAGUGACUUCCAGAACCAACUUGCAAAUGUCUGCCAAUCAGUGGCACUGCUCAGACCAGAGCUCAGAUAAGAUGUUCUGCAGUCUGCUGAGAAAAUCUUCCAACACAGUUGUGGGACACAGAAGUCACUCAGCAGAAACACUGGUCAUAUCACUUCUCCUUAUCUCUCUUCCUGGUGACGGAGCGCAAUGCCUGUGAGAUCUUUUUAAACAGAACCCUUUUUCCAAAUAAGAUUUGACACGGCACAGGGCCCCAGUGUAUGCGAACAAUAAAAGCUUCACUCCACUAGUUUAAAUAUAUUUUCUAAGAAGUUCAAGUUUCCAACAUGUUACUGUGUUACUUAUGAAAUCAGUGUGAACACAACUGAGGUGAGCUCCAGUGUGUGAAAAUCAAAAUCACGUAUCGCUUCUAAAUGUGCAUGGUGCUGCUUAUUACAAAUAUUCAAGUAGUUUAAAAUACAUUUUGGGCCAGGCACAGUGGCUCACACCUGUAAUCCCAGCACUUUGGGAGGCCGAAGAGGGAGGAUGGCUUGAGCCCAGGACCAGCCUGGGCAACAUAGGGAGACCUCAUCUCUACAAAAAAAUUAAAAAUUAGCUGGGUGUGGUGGCAUGCAUGUAUUGUCCCACGUACUCAGAAGGCUGAGGUGGGAGGAUCACUUGAGCCUAGGAGCUUGAGGCUGUAGUGAGCCAUGAUCCAUGCCCCUGCACUCCAGCCUGGGCAAUAGAGUGAGACCCUGUCUUAAAAUAAAUAAGCAAAAAUAAAUAAAAUACAUUUUGGGAAUUAUA